rnacentral:pre_miRNA from 1 species
AGUGGAAUAGCUGGGUCAAAGGGUAGUUCCAUUCCAAGUUUUCUAAGAAAUAUGCAUACUGCUUUCCAGAUUGACUGCACCAAUUUGCAGUCCCCAUGGCAAU